GAAAUGCGAUAAGUAGUGUGAAUUGCAGAAUUCAGUGAAUCAUCGAAUCUUUGAACGCACAUUGCGCCCUUUGGUAUUCCAAAGGGCAUGCCUGUUCGAGCGUCAUUUGUACCCUCAAGCUUUGCUUGGUGUUGGGCGUCUUGUCUCUAGCUUUGCUGGAGACUCGCCUUAAAGUAAUUGGCAGCCGGCCUACUGGUUUCGGAGCGCAGCACAAGUCGCACUCUCUAUCAGCAAAGGUCUAGCAUCCAUUAAGCCUUUUUUUCAACUUUUGACCUCGGAUCAGCUAGGGAUACCCGCUGAACUUAAGC
rnacentral:misc_RNA from 1 species